AGAAAAGCAAUGACGAGAAAAAGUAAGAGUAGGAACUUAAGCAGAGAAAUUGCGGGUGGUGCGAGCAAUUAAGAAACUAUUCUGAACACACAUCUCUAAGCUGGCAGUUGAACCAUAUUUUUUAGUAAACUGACUCGGGUGUACCCGUUACCGUACAAGCGUUUAGUAGUUUUGAACGUGAUAAGGCAGUUUUCUGUGAAGAGGCUGCAAAAAAAGGUGGAACCACGAUAAAGUAAUCUAUCGUCCUUUGA
rnacentral:ncRNA from 1 species